ACGCUGGCGGCAGGCCUAACACAUGCAAGUCGAGCGGUAGAGAGAAGCUUGCUUCUCUUGAGAGCGGCGGACGGGUGAGUAAUGCCUAGGAAUCUGCCUGGUAGUGGGGGAUAACGUUCGGAAACGGACGCUAAUACCGCAUACGUCCUACGGGAGAAAGCAGGGGACCUUCGGGCCUUGCGCUAUCAGAUGAGCCUAGGUCGGAUUAGCUAGUUGGUGGGGUAAUGGCUCACCAAGGCGACGAUCCGUAACUGGUCUGAGAGGAUGAUCAGUCACACUGGAACUGAGACACGGUCCAGACUCCUACGGGAGGCAGCAGUGGGGAAUACUGGACAAUGGGCGAAAGCCUGAUCCAGCCAUGCCGCGUGUGUGAAGAAGGUCUUCGGAUUGUAAAGCACUUUAAGUUGGGAGGAAGGGUUGUAGAUUAAUACUCUGCAAUUUUGACGUUACCGACAGAAUAAGCACCGGCUAACUCUGUGCCAGCAGCCGCGGUAAUACAGAGGGUGCAAGCGUUAAUCGGAAUUACUGGGCGUAAAGCGCGCGUAGGUGGUUAGUUAAGUUGGAUGUGAAAUCCCCGGGCUCAACCUGGGAACUGCAUUCAAAACUGACUGACUAGAGUAUGGUAGAGGGUGGUGGAAUUUCCUGUGUAGCGGUGAAAUGCGUAGAUAUAGGAGGAACACCGGUGGCGAAAGCGGCUCUCUGGCCUGUAACUGACACUGAGGCUCGAAAGCGUGGGGAGCAAAC
rnacentral:rRNA from 1 species